GACGAACGCUGGCGGCGUGCUUAACACAUGCAAGUCGAACGGGGUUAAGGAGCUUGCUUCUUAACUUAGUGGCGAACGGGUGAGUAACGCGUGAGGAACCUGCCUUUCAGUGGGGGACAACAGUUGGAAACGACUGCUAAUACCGCAUAAAACCGUAGUACCGCAUGGUACAUCGGUCAAAGAUUUAUUGCUGAAAGAUGGCCUCGCGUCUGAUUAGCUUGUUGGUGGGGUAACGGCCCACCAAGGCGACGAUCAGUAGCCGGACUGAGAGGUUGACCGGCCACGUUGGGACUGAGAUACGGCCCAGACUCCUACGGGAGGCAGCAGUGGGGAAUAUUGGGCAAUGGGCGAAAGCCUGACCCAGCAACGCCGCGUGAAGGAAGAAGGCCUUCGGGUUGUAAACUUCUUUUACCAGGGACGAACACAAUGACGGUACCUGGAGAAAAAGCAACGGCUAACUACGUGCCAGCCGCCGCAGUAACAC
rnacentral:rRNA from 1 species